rnacentral:lncRNA from 1 species
CAUUGCAAGUAAGUCUCCAAUUUGUCACAUGCUUGUAUCUUACUACAGUUACUCGUACAUACAACCUGAGGAAAGUGUUCUAGCUAAGAGGAACCUAAUCAAUGGGAAAAGACCCCCAAAGCCAGCCCUGUUUCAAGCAUAGAUACCCAGACACGUUCUGCUGGUCUGAAGUUUCUGCUAAAUAGACACUGUCUUCUUGACUUCCUCCCAGAUCAUCUGCUCCCAAAAAGCCACAUUGUACUGACUGUAUUUAUCAUCUCUUCCGUAAGUCUUUGCACUUAAUUACUGUUUAAACUUUCAUAGAGGGUUGACUUCUAUUCUAGGAAAAGUAUGCUAAUAAAUGUAUUCCCACACUCUCCUAAAGAAAAUCAAAUACGGAAUAUGUAACAUUACAAAAUCCUGCCGGUAAAGAUGGUCACUAUCAAUCACACCACUAUUUUUCUCCCAGUAUUCAUUGUCUACAAAAUGUGUGCAGGUGCCUGAAUGAAAUGCUGUCCGACUUCACAGUGUGGGACAGUAUAUCUCGGAGAGAAACAGAGAGUGAUCAGCACUGACUGCUCACCCAGCUGUGCAGGAGGUUUGUGCAACCGUGCUGGACACGAGGCUACAAAUGAGAUGAUGAGGUUUCACUCUAAGCUUUUAUUUGCAGCAUCCCUGGGUGUGUGCUAUGUAGGGUUAUCAAUUGUAAGCCCUAAAGUGAAUAUAUACAGAUGUAUGUAUAUACAUAUAGGGUUGUCAAUUGUAAGCCUUAAAGUGACUAUAUAUGUGUGUGUGUAUAUAUAUGUAUCUGUAUAUAUAUACAUAUCCCUGAAUUCUCUGCUGUUUUGGCCAUGUUUAAGAAAUGACACCAGCACUGAGAGUUCAUAUUAUAAGGAUGGGCAUGGUCUAGAGGAGCUGUGGAGCUAUGUAGAUGCUGCUAGGCCCAGGCAUGGAUGUCAAGCAGGACCCUCACCCUCUUGUUCCAUGACUGAUCAUUCCCUGUUGAGUGAUAAGUGCAGGUCGGGGGUCCAGAGCAUCCCCAUGGGAUUAUGGCAUGGUUCCCACUUUGGCUUUUCCACAUAG